AAGUCGUAACAAGGUUUCCGUAGGUGAACCUGCGGAAGGAUCAUUACAGUGGUAGGCUUCGGCCUCAUUCACACCCCCUGUGUUACCUCUGGUUUCUUUGGCGAGGUCCCCUCGUCAAACUUUAACGCUGAGAAUGUGGUACUGUCCGAGUGCGAUUGAAUUAUCAAAAAACUUUCAACAACGGAUCUCUUGGUUCCA
rnacentral:misc_RNA from 1 species